GGGCAUCUUGCGCAGUCCUUCCAGGCCCAUCCCUCUGUGCUUUGAGGUCUUGGGGUGAGGCCCGUCUGCAAAGGUGAGGAUGGAUAGGAAGGGCCUCGAGGGAUGUAUUCUUGCACCUUUGGAGGCUUCUUUCUCCUUUGCCUGUUCUGCCUUUGUCCUCGGGGUUCACGGAGGCCAGGUCCUAAUGCCCACUGGCAUUUCUGGCCUCAUCUUCCCGGCCUUCCUCUCACAGGCUUCCGCUCCAUCCCCACUUGCCAAUAUCUUUUUCCUUUAGGGAUCUCACACCACCGUCUAUGAAUGUUAGGCGAGCCCCACCCCUUCUUUUUAUAGAUGGAGACUCAGAGAUUGCUCUUGGGAGCUGCCAGAAAAAAAAGAUUAGAAGCCCGUCUUUGGACUCCUAGUCUAGCACUGUUUACUUUAAAGCAGUGGCUGUUGCCAGGAAUCCGGGUUUGGGAGCUACCCUCUAAUAGAGAUUUUCAAGGCCAAAAGGGUUUGUCAAGGUGCUUUCUCCUCCUCUGGGAGAGUCACAAUGCUCAUUAGCAUAGCAAAGGCUCUGUGAAGUCCUGCUCUAAAAGAAGCCCAAGUAAUUUAGUUUCCAGUGUUACUCACCUCUGGAUCUGGACCAGGACCAGUUUUUCCCACUUUAAGGUUCCAAGCAGCUCUGUUUUGUCUGGGCUCUCCUUUGACACCAAGGGGCCCAACCCUUUGGCUGCGGUCUGUUUGAAGAUGGGGGGGCACUCCUUUUCCCCAGGGAGUUCCCUUAGCAGAGGGAGCCCCACAACCCCUCUGUGAAAGAGAAGAUAGCUGCUCUCCAGACCAGUGAGAGCCUGGGAACUGUGGAUUUGAACCUUUCUUUACAUUAUCUGGGAAAUGAAGCCAAGUUCUCCAGAUGGUGUUCCAGUCAAAAGGAACAUCACCUGUAAGAGAUGCUAGCAUUGACCAUGAGCAGCUGGCAGGAGUGAGUCACAUCAAAGAGAGAAGAAAACUCUGGAUCUGGAGUGAACAGCUGGCCCAGCCUGAUAAGGUCACCACUUAAGCUGCGUCCUCAGCUCGGAUCCGGCUCCUUGAGGACCUCUUCCUCACCCCAGCCCAUGGUGCUCUGUCUGCAGUCGAGACCUCACUCAGGAGCAGACGUCUCCUCGGCCUUCAUGAUACCUUAUCCAUCCGCACGUGCCUGAAACAUUCCUGAGCCCACUGGCUCAUCCAGAUGUGCCUUCCUGCUUGGCCUCCAGCUGCUUCUCCACGUGUGAGAAGGACAUGAAGACGGCCCCCACACCCACCCUCUCCUCCCCUCGGGGCCCUGUGCCAUGAGAAUGGCCACCUGAGCUGGCCCAGAACUUUUGGAUGUGGGAGGCAGCCUCCUUGGCCUCCCUCUGUGGACUCUAGGACCCAAUCCAAGCGAGACUGCUGUGGGCUGCCUCCAGCCCAAACGCCUGGGACCAAGCAUGGGCCCAGGAGAGGAUUUCUGCAGUGUUCUACGAUGGCCCAGAGAGAGGGUGAAUGUGGGGUGGGGUGGGGGGUGGGGAGAGGGGACCAAUGUGCCUUGUUCCGUCGUCUAGUGGUGAUUACUAAUGUGCCUUUCUGAAUAAAGUUUGGUUUUUC
ensembl:lncRNA